GAUGAACGCUGGCGGCGUGCCUAAUACAUGCAAGUCGAGCGAACAGACGAGGAGCUUGCUCCUCUGACGUUAGCCGCGGACGGGUGAGUAACGCGUGGAUAACCUACCUAUAAGACGGGGAUAACUUCGGGAAACGGGCGCUAACAGCGGAUAACAUCCUGAUCCACAUGGGGGAACAGUGAAAGACGGCCUUGCUGUCAGUUCUAGAUGGAUCCGCGCCGCAUUAGCUAGUUGGGAAGGUAAAGGCUUUUCAAGGCAACUAUGCGUAGACGACCUGAGAGAGUGGUCGGCCACCCUGGAGCGUGGACGGGGUCAAUGCGACUGAGGGACGGAGCAGUAGGGUAUCGGACGCAGUAGGCGAGAGCCUGACGGGGCAACGCCGCGUGAGUUGCGAAAGUCUUCGGUGCGGAAAGCUCUGUUAUGGGUGAAGAACAAAUGUGUAAGUAACUGUGCACGUCGUGACGGUACCUAGUCAGAAAGCCACGGCUAACUACGUG
rnacentral:rRNA from 1 species